rnacentral:lncRNA from 8 species
AUGCGCACUGUAUCGCCCAUAUGCAUUCAAAGCCCGGUGCGCUCGGUGCAAGCUCCUCAGCGUUGCCAUGCUAGAGUUGGCACUCAGCCAGGAAGGAGUGUGCCUGCUCAGCGCAUCUGGCCGCCAGUGCGUCUCCUCGGCCCAGUUUAUCCUGCGCCUGCUCUAAGCAGGGCAGCCCUCAUUCCCCAGCACAGCCCAGUUCGCACUGUGCCAGCGCUCCGCUCGUGCCGGGCUACAGUGACCAUCCAGCCAGGACGGGUUGUGCAGGCCGCGCGCUCCAGACCUCCAGUGCGUCUCCAAGACCCAGUGUACCCUGUGCCUGCUCCGCGUACUCUUCCUCCAGUGCGCCACCAUAGCCCAGUACGUCCUGUGCCUGCUCCGCGCACUCUUCCUCCAGUGCACCACCAUAGCCCAGUACGUCCUGUGCCUGCUCCGCGCACUCUUCCUCCAGUGCACCACCAUAGCCCAGUACGUCCUGUGCCUGCUCCGCGCACUCUUCCUCCAGUGCACCACCAUAGCCCAGUACGUCCUGUGCCUGCUCCGCGUACUCUUCCUCCAGUGCGCCACCAUAGCCCAGUACGUCCUGUGCCUGCUCCGCGCACUCUUCCUCCAGUGCACCACCAUAGCCCAGUACGUCCUGUGCCUGCUCCGCGCACUCUUCCUCCAGUGCACCACCAUAGCCCAGUACGUCCUGUUCCUGCUCCCCGCACUAGCCCGAAGGUGCGUGUUACUAGCCUGGCGCCUCCCAUGCCAGUCCCACGUAGCAGACCUCCAGUGCGCAUCCAUAACCCGGUACAGCCAGUGCCUGCUGUGAGCACUCGGCCCUUAGUGCAUCUCCCCAGUCCGGUGAGACCGAUUCCUGCUCCUCGCACUCUCCCUCCAGUGCGCGUCCAUAACCCGGUACAGCCAGUGCCUGCUGUGAGCACUCGGCGCUCAGCGACGCUCCUCAGCCCGGAGCCUCCAGCGACGCUCCUCAGCCUCCAGCGACGCUCCUCAGCCUCCAGCGGCGGUCUGCAACCCAGAGCCUCCAGCGGCGGUCUGCAACCCAGAGCCUCCAGCGGCGGUCUGCAACCCAGAGCCUCCAGUGGCGGUCUGCAACCCAGAGCCUCCAGCGGCGGUCUGCAGCCCAGUGUCUUCAGCGGCGGUCUGCAGCCCAGUGUCUUCAGCGGUGGCCUUUAG